rnacentral:RNase_P_RNA from 1 species
GGAGAAAAGCAGGCAGUCGCGGUGGUCUCGCGAAAGCGACCCACUGAGGAAAGUCCGGGCUCCCAGGACCAGGAUGCCGGUUAACGACCGGUAAAGGUAACUUUAAGGCAAGUGCAACAGAAAUAGACAUGCACCUUCGGGUGCUUAAGGUGGAAAGGUGGGGUAAGAGCCCACCCCUGACGACGGAGACGCUGUCAGGCUGUAAACCCCAUCCGGAGCAACACCCUAGUGGACAUGAGGCGAGGUCCGGCCGUCCCGAGGUGGCUAGAGGGAGUACGCAAGUGCUUCAGUAGAUAAAUGAUUGCCCAACGACAGAACCCGGCUUAUCGCUUUUCUCCGUUU